rnacentral:rRNA from 1 species
GACGAACGCUGGCGGCGUGCUUAACACAUGCAAGUCGAACGCUUCUUUCCUCUCGUGUGCUUGCGCUCUGUUGGGCGAAGGGGUGGCUGUCGCGUGAGUAACCUGUCGUUAACCUAUCGAUAACAGCGGGAUAACACUGGGAAACAGGUGCUGUUACCGUAUACCAGUUUAUGCCGCCUGGCAUAAGAGUCAGAGUCUCUUUCGUCGGUCGCUGAUGGGCGGACCCGCGAUGCGUUAGCUAGUUGGUGAGGUAACGGCCCACCAAGGCCACGGUGGAUAGGCGACCUCGGAGGGUGAGCGGCCACAGUGAGACUGAGACACGGCCCAGACUCCUACGGGAGGCAGCAGUAGGGGAUCGUCGGCAAUGGAAGAAAGUCUGACCGAGCGACGCGGCGUGGGUGAAGAGGGGUUUCGGUUCGUAAAACUCUGUUGUGAGUGAAGAACAAGGACGUUAGUAAGUGAGGGGCGCCUGACGGUAGCUAGCCAGAAAGCCACGGCUAACUACGUG